AUGGUGCAUCAAUUUGCUUUUAUUUUUUUCAACCAGUCAGAGCAGUGUAAAUCUUUUCAAUUUUUGACAAAUAGUGGAGUUUUAUGGCAUAGAAGUGAAAAAGGGGAAUCAUCAAUUAAAGCAUUGGGUCAGAAGAUGUUGAUGGAGAUGAAAAGUCCACUCAGGAUUGAUAAAAGGAAGAUGGAUGCUUUGUUGGUAAAGACAACAGGAAGCCGAGGAAAUUCAGGGCCUGUUUGUGGUUCUAAAAUAAAUGAGUUACCUAACAACCAUUCAUCAAACACACUGUCUAGGAGUGAAGUUAUUGCUUCCAAAUGGUAG